rnacentral:rRNA from 1 species
CCGGUAAACGGCGGCCGUAACUAUAACGGUCCUAAGGUAGCGAAAUUCCUUGUCGGGUAAGUUCCGACCUGCACGAAUGGCGUAAUGAUGGCCAGGCUGUCUCCACCCGAGACUCAGUGAAAUUGAACUCGCUGUGAAGAUGCAGUGUACCCGCGGCAAGACGGAAAGACCCCGUGAACCUUUACUAUAGCUUGACACUGAACAUUGAGCCUUGAUGUGUAGGAUAGGUGGGAGGCUUUGAAGUGUGGACGCCAGUCUGCAUGGAGCCGACCUUGAAAUACCACCCUUUAA